UACGUAGGGUGCGAGCGUUGUCCGGAAUUAUUGGGCGUAAAGAGCUCGUAGGCGGUCUGUCGCGUCUGCUGUGAAAACCCGAGGCUCAACCUCGGGCCUGCAGUGGGUACGGGCAGACUAGAGUGCGGUAGGGGGAGAAUGGAAUUCCUGGUGUAGCGGUGGAAUGCGCAGAUAUCAGGAGGAACACCGAUGGCGAAGGCAGUUCUCUGGGCCGUAACUGACGCUGAGGAGCGAAAAGCGUGGGGGAGCGAACAGG
rnacentral:rRNA from 1 species